rnacentral:rRNA from 1 species
AUACGGAGGGUCCAAGCGUUAUCCGGAUUCAUUGGGUUUAAAGGGUCCGCAGGCGGGAAAAUAAGUCAGUGGUGAAAGCCUACAGCUCAACUGUAGAACUGCCAUUGAUACUGUUUUUCUUGAGUAUAGAUGAAGUGGGCGGAAUAUAUCAUGUAGCGGUGAAAUGAAUAGAUAUGAUAUAGAACACCGAUUGCGAAGGCAGCUCACUAAACUAUUACUGACGCUCAGGGACGAAAGCGUGGGGAGCGAACAGGAUUAGAUACCCUAGUAGUCC